rnacentral:lncRNA from 1 species
AUUUAGAAGAAGAUAAUCCGUUACUUCUAAUAUGCUUAUGUUUGGUUAAGAAAAAGAAAUAAUCCACUCUUAAUCAAGAAAAGACAAAGCUUUGAUAUUGUAUGUGUACUCUUGGCAAUCUAUCAAGCAUACAAACUGGAAGAAGAUGCAUAAAGUUAUAGAAUCUGUGUAAAAAUGAAAGUGAAAAAAUAAAAGAAAGUAUGUAUAUUCAAAAAAGAAUAGAAAUGGCUAUUGCCAAAGAUUAGAAAACAUAAGUAUCUUGAAACUAAACUAAAAACCAAGAAAAGAGUUGAUAAGAGUGAGUAAGGCCCCACUCUUGCCUCUAUGUAUACUACUUAACUAAGGAAUAUGUGGCGACAUGCUAUAGGACCUCCAAAAUGUAUCCAACUUCUAGAGCCUAUGUCUAAUUUGCAAGACAAGUUUCCUAGGUGUGCGCCAUAUGUCCAACUUGUACUACAAGUGGUCAAUAUGUCGACAUGUGGCCUCCUUGUUG